CGGUUUGGUCAGUCCUCCGGGAAAUCUGACGGCUCAACCGUUAGGCUUUCGGGGGAUACUGCCAGGCUUGGAACCGGGAGAGGUAAGAGGUACUACAGGGGUAGGAGUGAAAUCUUGUAAUCCCUGUGGGACCACCUGUGGCGAAGGCGUCUUACCAGAACGGGUUCGACGGUGAGGGACGAAAGCUGGGGGCACGAACCGGAUUAGAUACCCGGGUAGUCCCAGCCGUAAACGAUGCUCGCUAGGUGUCAGGCGUGGCGCGACCGUGUCUGGUGCCGCAGGGAAGCCGUGAAGCGAGCCACCUGGGAAGUACGGCCGCAAGGCUGAAACUUAAAGGAAUUGGCGGGGGAGCACAACAACGGGUGGAGCCUGCGGUUUAAUUGGACUCAACGCCGGACAACUCACCGGGGGCGACAGCAAUAUGUAGGCCAAGCUGAAGACUUUGCCUGAAUCGCUGAGAGGAGGUGCAUGGCCGUCGCCAGUUCGUACUGUGAAGCAUCCUGUUAAGUCAGGCAACGAGCGAGACCCGUGCCCACUGUUACCAGCAUAUCCUCCGGGAUGACGGGUACUCUGUGGGGACCGCCGGUGUUAAAUCGGAGGAAGGUGCGGGCCACGGUAGG
rnacentral:rRNA from 1 species